CAGUAGCCGCGGGAACACGGAGGGUGCAAGCGUUAUCCGGAUUCACUGGGUUUAAAGGGUGCGUAGGCGGAUCUGUAAGUCAGUGGUGAAAUCUCCAGGCUUAACCUGGAAACUGCCGUUGAUACUAUAGGUCUUGAAUUUUGUGGAGGUUAGCGGAAUAUGUCAUGUAGCGGUGAAAUGCAUAGAUUUGACAUAGAACGCCAAUUGCGAAGGCAGCUGGCUACACAACUAUUGACGCUGAGGCACGAAAGCGUGGGGAUCAAACAGGAUUAGAUACCCCAGUAGUCCCUGUCUCUUAUAC
rnacentral:rRNA from 1 species